rnacentral:lncRNA from 1 species
GAUUUAAGCCAGUGGCUGACGUGGCAUGCAUCGAAACGACAGCGAUGAACACCAAAACGAUGCGUCUCCCUCCCCGGCGCAAUUUGGCGUCAAACAAGCGUAAAGAAAGAGAUGAUCCCUCCUCCGACUCUUACAAGCCGCCGACACCCGCGGCUCCACCUCCGCCGCCGUUUGCCACAGUGAAGCCACUGGGUAAGCCGGUUAUCGGUCCGACCGGUUCGGAUAAAUUGGUCGAACC